rnacentral:rRNA from 1 species
GACGAACGCUGGCGGCGUGCUUAACACAUGCAAGUCGAACGGAAAGGCCCUGCUUUUGUGGGGUGCUCGAGUGGCGAACGGGUGAGUAACACGUGAGUAACCUGCCCUUGACUUUGGGAUAACUUCAGGAAACUGGGGCUAAUACCGGAUAGGAGCUCCUGCUGCAUGGUGGGGGUUGGAAAGUUUCGGCGGUUGGGGAUGGACUCGCGGCUUAUCAGCUUGUUGGUGGGGUAGUGGCUUACCAAGGCUUGGACGGGUAGCCGGCCUGAGAGGGUGACCGGCGUCAAUGGGACUGAGAUACGGACCAGACUCCAACGGGAGGCAGCAGUGGGGAAUAUUGCACAAUGGGCGGAAGCCUGAUGCAGCAACGCCGCGUGCGGGAUGACGGCCUUCGGGUUGUAAACCGCUUUCGCCUGUGACGAAGCGUGAGUGACGGUAAUGGGUAAAGAAGCACCGGCUAACUACGUG